AGUUGUUUUAACUUUUUAUCAAACUUCAUUUAGUCAAACCUCCAGGAGUUGAAUAAGCUAGUUUUUAGGUUAGCACUUAAAAAACUGAAAGAAGAAAAAGACAGGCGUAGGAACUAUUUCCCAGAAUGCUUAGAGGCAUGUUUUUGUGUCCUGAGAUCGAAGUGCAUUACAUUGAUCUGACUCUUGUGUUUUAUUAAGACAAAUGUUUAUUUUAAUGUCGUGUUCACACUAAAUGUUUCUGAGCUGAAUUCAUUGGGAUGUUUAUUAAGAUUAAUUAUUAGAUCAGAAAUUUUUGUUCAUGCAAUUUGAAACAAGAAUUUAAAUUAUUCUGAAGUAAAAUAAGUUAUUUUAACUUGAUAUUGUGAGUAAAAAAUAAUAGGGAACUGUGGCUCUUUAACUAGGUGAUGACAGUUUAUUUUCAGGCAUAUUGUGAAAUAAAUAUUUGCAACAUUAAGUUAAAACUCAUAAUUCAAGAUUAAUGAACUUUAAAAAUGAUGUUUAGACAACUUGUCUCUCGUUAAAUCAACUGUCUUGCUGACUUAAGACAUUCUGUUUCUGAACUGGCUUUCCCCGUGUGGCCUUGGAAGGGCUGCAUAUUUCUAAUCUCCUUGAAGAUAUGUAAACAUAACGCUCCUUCCCACCUAACCCCCUCCUGUAUCCAUGCAGCUGUGAAGCUGAACGCUCCCAAGGACAUUCCUGGAUAAACAACACCUUUAUCGGACUUCUGCCAGGAGGCUCAGCCACCUGGUUUCAUGGCCCUGUGAUGUCACUGCCUUCACUCAUAUCUUUGUUUUGCCCAUUGUUUUGUCUGAAUGUUGCCAUUUGCCCUAAUGUGUCCUUUCCUCUUUUCUGUUUUAGUUUGUUAGAAACGG